UGAUGACUUCAUAUCAAUUACUGGAACACAAAAUGUAAAACUGCUUUGUCAAUUACUGGGCGAAGUGAAAAAUUUCCUAUCAAUUAUAGGUACAUUUUGAGACUGUUUGAAUUUUCUCGGAAAAUAGUAAAAAACGUUUAAUUAGAUACUUGAUUGUAAGGAGAUAAUUUAGAUAGAAGACUGAUUUACCAAAUUUUGUUACUUGGUUACCGCCUGAUUUCGUAAUAAAAGUUUUUCCCUAACAACGUUUUUGUAAUUGCCACUAUUGUGUCAACUACUGGGACAUUUACCUUAUGUACUUUGUGAUA